rnacentral:rRNA from 1 species
UACGUAGGGGGCAAGCGUUGUCCGGAAUCAUUGGGCGUAAAGAGCGUGUAGGCGGCCCGAUAAGUCCGCUGUGAAAGUCCAGGGCUCAACCCUGGGAUGCCGGUGGAUACUGUCGGGCUCGAGUCCGGAAGAGGAGUGUGGAAUUCCUGGUGUAGCGGUGAAAUGCGUAGAGAUCGGAAAGAACACCAACGGCGAAAGCACUCUGCUGGGCCGACACUGACACUGAGAGACGAAAGCUAGGGGAGCGAAUGGG